rnacentral:lncRNA from 1 species
ACAUUUCGUUAUGUCACUUUAUCUAAAAGUUAUCACUCUUCAUGAUGUCAUUUCAUCUAAAAAGUUGUCAUCUUUUGUCAAGUUAUUUCAUUCUUAUUCUAGAUUCUUCCAUAAUCUUCCAUUUGCUUCCUCAUCCUUAUCCAUCCUUUUUUCCAUUUAACUCCAAAAUAGAGCUGAAAUAAAGCCCAUUAGACUCUUUAGGCCCACCUAAGCCCAUGAGACCUAAAUAGCAAACUGUUAUAAAGUUCUCUAUAUAUCUAUCAGUUUUCCUUAAUUUUAUCCCAAAUUUUCUUCUACGAAAAUAUUUCU